rnacentral:rRNA from 1 species
AGUGAACGCUGGCGGUAGGCCUAACACAUGCAAGUCGAACGGCAGCACAGUAAGAGCUUGCUCUUACGGGUGGCGAGUGGCGGACGGGUGAGGAAUACAUCGGAAUCUACUUUUUCGUGGGGGAUAACGUAGGGAAACUUACGCUAAUACCGCAUACGAUCUACGGGUGAAAGCAGGGGAUCUUCGGACCUUGCGCGAUUGAAUGAGCCGAAGUCGGAUUAGCUAGUUGGCGGGGUAAAGGCCCACCAAGGCGACGAUCCGUAGCUGGUCUGAGAGGAUGAUCAGCCACACUGGAACUGAGACACGGUCCAGACUCCUACGGGAGGCAGCAGUGGGGAAUAUUGGACAAUGGGCGCAAGCCUGAUCCAGCCAUACCGCGUGAGUGAAGAAGGCCUUCGGGUUGUAAAGCCCUUUUGUUGGGAAAGAAAAGCAGCAUGUUAAUACCCCGCUGUUCUGACGGUACCCAAAGAAUAAGCACCGGCUAACUUCGUG